rnacentral:tRNA from 1 species
CCUGGGCUGUCAGGCGCGGUGGCCAAGUGGUAAGGCGUCGGUCUCGUAAACCGAAGAUCGCGGGUUCGAACCCCGUCCGUGCCUGAGACCCGAGGUAGGGCUUUGGCUGUGGGGAAGUCGGGUUUUCUCCACGUACGCCGUCCCUUCUACGUGGCAUUUUUUCCAUUUUCGGAUUCUGCUCAGUCGCCCUCCAGUUCGUCUCCUGCCCCGGGCUCCGCGGUCGGCGGGGGCCGGUGCACCUGGGCUUCGAGACUCCAGGGUCCACCUUACAGGUGAGCUCGGCCCCCGCCGCGCCGCGUGCGCCCUCGCCGCCGGUCCCCG